UUGACAAGCCUUUUCUUUCUGCUUCUGCCAGAGUUGUCCAACUGCCAUCGACGAGAUGUUCAACACCAAACUGCACAUUAUCGGAGGGGUGGGCAUUGGUAUCGGGAUCAUCAUGAUCUUUGGGAUGAUCUUCAGCAUGAUGCUCUGCUGUGCUAUUAAGAAGUCCCGGGACUUUGUCUGAACAAAAAAAAACCUCUGUUAAAUGUAUGUCUUCCCACACAACUGCUUAAGAGUUUAAAUCUGUUUAAUGAUCAUAACAGUCAUAUUAUAGUUUACUACCCGGAUCCAUACAGCAUGACCACUCUGCGACAGUAUGGAACCUCAUUUGUUUGCUCUUCUUCUCUUUGGGUACAAAUGUAAUUCCUUUGCCCGGGAAAUUGAAUACUUUUUAUUCUAGUACCAAUUAUAAUGAAUGUGCUACUUUUCAGUUUCACAGAGAGCUUGUCCGCACUACUUUUUAAAGACGUUGCUGCCCUCUGGAGGAUGUUGAAGAAAGAAUUUAGAAUAAUAUCGGAUCAAUUUAUGUAUAACAUUGCCUGUGGUUGGUUUGUAAUCGAACAGGCUUUUUUUUUUGUAGCUAACUGGUUUUACUUUGUAUUUUAUGUUUGCCUGAACUUACAUGAAUUUUGAUUUUUAUAAAUGCAGAACUGUGGAGUUUUAUGCAAAUAUUUUUGAUGAAUGCAGUUCCAAUGUAUCUUUAACAUGCCAAAUAAAUUAAUGAAUAACCACU